AGAGAGGAAAAUGUUAUGCAUAAGUAAAUGUUAAACUAUAUAUUCUACCUGAUUUAAGGUGAUUCCAAAAUAGUCCAGGAUUCAUAUUGUUUUAAAAUAUAUUUCUUUAUCAAUGUAUUUGGAUUUUUAGUCAAUAUACAACUACCUUUUUAAAAAAUAUCCAACACAUAUCCUCACAAAAAGCUUGUUUCUGUAUAAAGAAGUAAAAAGUGUGUAUUCAAAACUAUUCUCUGGUUAUUAUAGGUCUUUCUGAUCUUGUGGUAUUCUAAUAUAAAAUUGAUAGGGUCUAGACUAGAGAAUCCUAAUUAGCACACACAUACACUUUCUUAUAUUGUUUGCUAACUAUUUAACAUUUAUUCAUCUUUUCUCUCCAAUUAAGUAUUAGAUUCUAUGACAGUAUGAACCAUAUCUAAUAGUCUUUCUUGAUUCACUCAAUUGCUAAUUUCUUCCCUUCCUUCUCCUAGUUUACAUUUAACUUCUGUGUAUAUUUGUAUUUAUUUUAUUUUUAUGCAGUUUAAAUAUAUUUUAUGCAUAUGUAUUAUCUGCCCUAUUUAAAAUACAGGGACAUUGUUUGGUGGUUUUUUGGUUUGCUUAUAAUCAGAGCAAUGUUUUUUUCUGCCUGUACCAGAGAGGUCUUGAAGCACGAAAUGAGAAAUGUUUGACAAAACAAAUGAAAACAAAACAUAAUGUAGACAAUGUUAAUUUGUGGUUUUUCAAGUCAAUAUGCCACCACAUUUUCUAUUUGUGUUUGUUUUCACUGGAUAUAUAAGUUUGUAAUCGAGCCCAUACUCAAAAGUUUUUUCCAAUUUUGAAGGACCAUCCAGAACUUGUGAACUAGUUAUAUAACUACUGAAACCCAAGGUCAUCUCCACAUGAUAAGUCUGCACUGUAAUAGAUUUUGAAUUUUAUACCACUCAAUUACAUAGAAAAGAGAGGCUUAAAAGUACAAAAAAAACCCAAUCCAAAUCAUGGUAGAUGACUAAACUUCAUUUCAUAACUCUUUUGUUCUUAGAUUAAUACAGGUCUUUUCUAUUAGAUUCAUUUAUAUGGUGCAGCAUAUAAAACUAAUGAAAUACAUACCAUGUGCACUACAUUUACUAUGUUUAUAAUUAAAUGGUCUUCAGACUCUUGCCAAACUGUUAAUUUUCUGCUUCAUACAGGAGCCAUCUAAAUCAGAUGUCCUGUUUUUCUUUUUUCUUUUCUUUUUUUUUUUUUUACCAGUAGGAGCUGACAUGACUCUGAAGAGAGAAUGACUUCACUUUAUCAUAAUUUUAGUAAUAAAAAAAUGAAGAAAACAAAGUUUUAAUUAUUUUUCCUUGGAAGCAAUCCCUGGAAGAUGCAGCCUGGCAAGUUACUUCAGAGAAUCAGAAGAGAUGUCAAAGGAAUGAAAAGAGAUAUCAGAAAUCAUUUUGUCCACCUGCAGCUGAACUGAAAUAUCCACAGUAUUUAAAGACCUCCAGUGGAGUUCUUCAAUCUACUACACUUCCUGAGGAAACCCAUUACACUACAUUACAUUACUACAUACAUGAAAUUACAUUACAUGGGUAAUUCUAAUUUCCAUUCAGUACUAUAUAUUUUGCCCUCUUAAAAGCAGUAAAAAGAACAAGUAUAUUA